rnacentral:lncRNA from 1 species
ACCCUUGAAAACAAUCAUACAAUCUAUCUUGAUACCUCAAAACAUCAUCUCCCCCUUGUUCAAAAGCCAUUACUUUUUGCAAAAUUGGGUCUUGAUCCAGCUUCUCUUUUACUUCUUACACUAAUGAUGAUUCAGCCCCAUUCAUCACCACUACUCUUCCUUCUGUGGAAUCCAUUAGUCGGACUCCUAAGCAUGCAAGUCUAUGCACUUCUUUUGCUAACUCUUUCUUAUCUUCC